CUUCCAGCCGGCGAGGUACAUGUACCUCAACAGCUGGAAGUAUUUCCUUCCAGUUGACAAGGUACAUGUACCUCGUUGAUUGGAAGGAUUUCCUUCCAGCCAAAGAGGUACAUGUACCUCGUCGACCAGAAG
rnacentral:miRNA from 1 species